UGGCAGGCUAGUCUGGGUAGCCCGGCGUUACCUGUAACCCGAAAUCGCCGAUACGCGGGGGACGAAGCCUGAAGAAGAUGUUUGGACCAUUUUCAAACCUGUAAUUUCAACUGAGAAACCCCGUCCUGCUUGGAUGACGUUGAUAUAGGUGCUUUCUGGAGAGAAUGUACUCAUAUCUUAACUGUGGGAACCAGCCCAGGCCCGGAAGGGAGCAGGCCUACCAUAGACAAUCGUCGCUUGGAGGGCUGCGGGGUGGAGAAGAAAUUUCAGACCACCUGAUAAUGGAAAAAGCAGCGACUUCGGGCGUGCCUGUCA
rnacentral:SRP_RNA from 1 species